rnacentral:lncRNA from 10 species
ACUGUCCCUCCCAGGGCAGGACUCAAGAGCGGGAGCCACGACUCCAUGUGCCCAAACAUGGGGAUGGGCAGCCACCGGGCCCCUCUGUCUCGCGAAGUUUCUCAGGACCCUGGGCUUUGCCACGGUCUCAGUCCUUCUCAACGUCUCCCUCCCUUAAUGCGCCUUCUUUCUUUUUCCUGUCCCUUCAAGAAUUAGAGUGGUCCUUUAAUUCUUUUUGUUUCCUCUCUUUUCGAUUUCCUUCUUUUGUGUCCAUCCUUCCUGCUUUCCUUCUUCCUCUCCCUCUUUUUAAAAUUGCAUUACUGUCAUACCUGGUUUCCCUGCAGUUCUUGGGUGGAGUUCGAGGACCCUCCCUGGUGGAAGGCGUUUGUGUUCUACCAAAAGAGGAGCCCUUCUGACCGAGGCUUCAGAGCUCAGCGUGGCGCCGACGGGACCACCUUUCCCUUCUCACCUCUUUUCCUCUCCACCUUCCAGGAAACCACUAUCUAUCCAUCUAUCCAUCUAUCUUCUGUAUACGAGUAGAAGGAGGAGGAGGAGGAGGAAAAUCAGGAAUCCACGCAAAGUUUUCCAAGCUCCCUGAAGUGGUAAAUCUUUUCUUCAAACCUUGCUUUGACUGAUGCAUUCGGUUUUGUGGGAAUUUUGGCUCCCACAAGCUGCUUGCUAAAGGGCCUCGUCUCCAUUCCUGUUAAAUAUAGCAAAGGGCAAGAUGCUCAACAUCUGAUUCCCAUAGGGCCCAGCAUAGCAACCUUCCUUUAGGGCCAUCCCGGCUGGGCAGCAGAGACCGCAUGGGAGGGAUUCGGGGACUGGAAUCUGCACCAGGGUCACUCCCUGCUACCCGGAUCCCGGCCCCCUUCAGACCCUUCGGCAGAGAGAAACAGGAAAAUGCCUUGAGAGACCUGUGAGUGCCAGGGUAUUGGCUGGGUAUAUGACGCCUCUGGGUUAUCCCACAGCAUUCUCACCCGCCCAACCCCAGCUCAACCAGGGGAGGGGAGCCCCAUCAGAGGUGGGCAAUGGGACAGGUGAUGGUGAGCACUGUGAAGAGACAUGUGGAGAAACAGUAGAGAAAAAAGGCUGAGAGUCUGCUCCUGCUACAAAGACUACCCUGAUUCUGGUUAUCCCGGCACCAUCUUUGCACUUUCAGGCACUUAGAUUGCUGCUUUGGGUACCAGUCUUAGAAAUAUGGCCUCCUUCCUGUCCUAGAACUUUCUAAGGCCCAACUUUCUAAAACACUGGCAGCCCUAAUGCCAGAGUGGCUUCUAGUUCUUUAGCUUAGCUAAGCAUAGAGGAAGACGCCUGGUUUUAGGAACAGACAGAUUGAGGGCUGAAUUCCAGCUCUGCUACUUUCUAGUUGUAUUUUUUAGACAAGUCACUUAACUGCUCUGAUUCUCAUUUUCCUCACCUAUACAAUGUAGUAGGCACUCUGCAAAAAGUGGCUGUUUUUAUCAUGCUUAGCCCCAUGUACAAGCUUCAGAUGAAUAAGAGCCUGAUAUUUCUUUUAUUUAGAGACAGGCACUCGGGGACCCAGUGAAAAGAGCCCUCACUCCCAGGAAUUAAUAGUGAGGCCCCUCCCAGUCCAGCCACAUGGCUGCUCAGGUGAAGACUCGAGAGCAGAGUCGGCAGUAAGGAAGGGUAUUUACUGGUAACCUGCAAGGCACACUUUUGCUCGUGCUUCUUUCCUUUCUUUUUAAAGGUGCAGGACGUAGUGAUGACUGCAUAGUCUACUAUCAGGUCUUCUAACUCUGCUCCACAGGGCCUUUUCCUUUCUCCCUCUACCUAGUCCUCCUUUGUGCUCAGAAUGGGGCUGCCCCAGCACAGGUUUCUGGCUUCACAAACAGGAGGGCGGAAGUGCUUACCCAGAGGAAACCGUUAGGCCUAGAUAACAUCAGUCACCCAAGGUGACUUGCAGCUGCUCCCCACGCCCUGCUUAGGCCUCUCUUGGCUGAGAACAGAUGACCACAAAGCAAACAAGCUUGGCCUCCACCAUGCUCCUGGGUCCCCAGUGCAGAGUUUAAUGCUGCUCCAGAGCUAUUUGGGCCCCAGACUGGGACUUCUCCUGAGGGAGGGGGUGGAAAACGGGGAGGGAGGGACCAAGAGGUAGCCCCGAGCUGUGUUUAGGCAGCCAUGAGUAGGUGUGGUGUGUGUACUCCCCUUAUCUUCUUCUUCUGUCCCUACAGAAGAUCUCCAGGAGCCAGAAUAGCAGUAACUCUGCUGAUAAACACCCAGGUUUGCUGGGUUAUCUGGGAUUGUAACUGGCUGCUCUGGGGGCUGGGAGGAAACAACAGCCCAAGGGGAAGGGAAAGUGACUUUCCGAGGAGUUGGUUCCCCUCUCUCUCUGGAGGUCUGGCUGGCUAACACGGAACCACUUCCUUCAGUCUACCCUGGGCCUUCCCCUUCAUAUAUCCUGAUAGCCAGAACCAGCCACGCAAUAAGUAGAGGUCAUCAGGUAACUAACAAUAAAAACACCAGGCUGGGCUCAUGCCUGUAAUCCCAGAACUUUGGGAGGUGAGGCAGGUGGAUCACAAGGUCAGGAGUUAGGGACCAGCCUGGCCAACAUAGUGAAACCCCAUCUCUACUAAAAAAAUACAAAAAUUAGCUGGGCAUGGUGGCGUGUGCCUGUAAUCUCAGCUACGCGGGAGGCUGAGGCAGAAGAAUUGCUUGAACCUGGGGGGCAGAGGUUGCAGUGAGCCAAAUUCUUGCCACUGCACUCCAGCCUGGGUGACAGAGCCAAGACUCCGACAA